GGUAAGGUGGCCGAGUGGUUAAGGCGUUGGAUUUAAGAGUGAUAUGUAUCACCUUGAAGUUCCCCAAUGACGAGAGUCUCCAGGGUUCGAACCCCUGUCUUACCA
rnacentral:tRNA from 1 species